AGUGAACGCUGGCGGUAGGCCUAACACAUGCAAGUCGAACGGCAGCACAGAGGAGCUUGCUCCUUGGGUGGCGAGUGGCGGACGGGUGAGGAAUACAUCGGAAUCUACUCUGUCGUGGGGGAUAACGUAGGGAAACUUACGCUAAUACCGCAUACGACCUACGGGUGAAAGCAGGGGAUCUUCGGACCUUGCGCGAGUGAAUGAGCCGAUGUCGGAUUAGCUAGUUGGCGGGGUAAAGGCCCACCAAGGCGACGAUCCGUAGCUGGUCUGAGAGGAGGAUCAGCAACAAUGGAACGGAGGAACGAUCCAGACUCCUACGGGAGGAAGCAGUGGGGAAUAUUGGACAAUGGGCGCAAGACUGAUCCAGCCAUACCGCGUGGGUGAAGAAGGCCUUCGGGUUGUAAAGCCCUUUUGUUGGGAAAGAAAUCCAUCUGGUUAAUACCCGGAUGGGAUGACGGUACCCAAAGAAUAAGCACCGGCUAACUUCGUGCCAGCAGCCGCCGCGG
rnacentral:rRNA from 1 species